rnacentral:antisense_RNA from 1 species
UUUGAUCGAACCCAGCCAGAGCGGCUCGGUUCGGCCUUGUCCGUAGGUCGCCAAAAUCGCCUGCGCCUC